GAGUUUGAUCCUGGCUCAGAUUGAACGCUGGCGGCAUGCCUUACACAUGCAAGUCGAACGGCAGCACGGGAGCUUGCUCCUGGUGGCGAGUGGCGAACGGGUGAGUGAUGCCUAGGAAUCUGCCUGGUAGUGGGGGACAACGUUUCGAAAGGAACGCUAAUACCGCAUACGUCCUACGGGAGAAAGCAGGGGACCUUCGGGCCUUGCGCUAUCAGAUGAGCCUAGGUCGGAUUAGCUAGUUGGUGGGGUAAUGGCUCACCAAGGCGACGAUCCGUAACUGGUCUGAGAGGAUGAUCAGUCACACUGGAACUGAGACACGGUCCAGACUCCUACGGGAGGCAGCAGUGGGGAAUUUUGGACAAUGGGGGCAACCCUGAUCCAGCCAUGCCGCGUGAGUGAAGAAGGCC
rnacentral:rRNA from 1 species